AUUGAACGCUGGCGGCAGGCUUAACACAUGCAAGUCGAGCGGGGGAAGGUAGCUUGCUACCGGACCUAGCGGCGGACGGGUGAGUAAUGCUUAGGAAUCUGCCUAUUAGUGGGGGACAACAUCUCGAAAGGGAUGCUAAUACCGCAUACGUCCUACGGGAGAAAGCAGGGGAUCUUCGGACCUUGCGCUAAUAGAUGAGCCUAAGUCGGAUUAGCUAGUUGGUGGGGUAAAGGCCUACCAAGGCGACGAUCUGUAGCGGGUCUGAGAGGAUGAUCCGCCACACUGGGACUGAGACACGGCCCAGACUCCUACGGGAGGCAGCAGUGGGGAAUAUUGGACAAUGGGGGGAACCCUGAUCCAGCCAUGCCGCGUGUGUGAAGAAGGCCUUAUGGUUGUAAAGCACUUUAAGCGAGGAGGAGGCUACUUUAGUUAAUACCUAGAGAUAGUGGACGUUACUCGCAGAAUAAGCACCGGCUAACUCUGUGCCAGCAGCCGCGGUAAUACAGAGGGUGCGAGCGUUAAUCGGAUUUACUGGGCGUAAAGCGUGCGUAGGCGGCUUAUUAAGUCGGAUGUGAAAUCCCCGAGCUUAACUUGGGAAUU
rnacentral:rRNA from 1 species